AAGGGGUCACUGACAAAGCUCGUGAUAGGUUGUGCGGUUCUCCACCUGUCACGGUUCCUUCCCAGUUCAUCGUCUCUCGUCCCACAGCCAACACAGUCAAAAUACCACAAUCUCUGAGAAAACGGUUGAAAAAGUUGAUGUAAUGAAUUAGGAAGAUUCUGCAACCGCGGCACAGGAAAUGCCCGAGAAGAAAAUCUCUCCAACGUAGCUGCCCCAGGGAUGGAGGGAGAUAAGCUGUGACUUGAAAUGACCACAAGCCAUGGCAGCUGUCGUUUUCUGAGUCCCUCCUGCCCGCCAGUCGCUGUGCCACAUCCCCGGCUGCUUGUGGUCUCCGCAGUGCGGUGCUGAGCAAGCGCCCUCGACGCUUCCUGACGAGAAGGAACUCGGGCUUUGGGACAGGAAGUGACAAAGCUUGCAGAUGUCCAGGGGGCAAAGGUACAUUGCGGGGACGGAUCCCAUGUAACCCCAGAAGCAGUGUUCAUGUGGAAAUGCAUCCGUGCUCCAAAAGGUAAACAUCCCGAAUGCGUGCUGUGAGUUUUCCGUAUCGAUUUUCCUCUUGUAAUUCACUCCCAAGGGUUUACUGUGUGCACCAAUCUCUUGAGCACACCCCUGUCAAGCUCCUCAGCUCCAGGCACUGUUCCUGUCCCGGAUGAUCCACCAGCCUUGGUCUUUGCUUGGGCAUUUCUACGUCCUGAUCCCUGCAGAGAGAGUCUCUGCUCCAGUAGUCUCAGCUGAAGACAUACCAAGAGGGCUGGUGAGGAUAGAAGAACUGAAACCAACGGAGUAACAAGAAACAGGAGAACAAGGCCCCUUGUGCUUCACAAUGACCCCAAGAAUGUACUGAUACGGCAUCUGCUUUAAAAGAAUUUGGAGCUGAGCGUCGUGGCGCACACCUGUAAU